UACGUAGGGGGCAAGCGUUGUCCGGAAUCAUUGGGCGUAAAGAGCGCGUAGGCGGCCCGAUAAGUCCGCUGUGAAAGUCAAGGGCUUAACCCUUGAAUGCCGGUGGAAACUGUCGGGCUAGAGUCCGGAAGAGGCGAGUGGAAUUCCUGGUGUAGCGGUGGAAUGCGCAGAUAUCAGGAGGAACACCGGUGGCGAAGGCGGCGUCCUGGACCAACACUGACACUGAUGAGCGAAAGCCAGGGGAGCAAACGGG
rnacentral:rRNA from 1 species